CCUACGGGAGGCAGCAGUGGGGAAUCUUCCGCAAUGGACGAAAGUCUGACGGAGCAACGCCGCGUGUACGACGAAGGCCUUCGGGUUGUAAAGUUCUGUCUUCAGGGACGAACGGUAUCUAUGUGAAUAACGUGGGUGCAUGACGGUACCUGAGGAGGAAGCCCCGGCUAACUACGUGCCAGCAGCCGCGGUAAUACGUAGGGGGCAAGCGUUGUCCGGAAUCAUUGGGCGUAAAGGGCGCGUAGGCGGAUACUUAAGUCUGGUGUGAAAACCUAGGGCUCAACCCUGGGACUGCAUCGGAAACUGGGUAUCUUGAGGACAGGAGAGGAAAGUGGAAUUCCACGUGUAGCGGUGAAAUGCGUAGAUAUGUGGAGGAACACCAGUGGCGAAGGCGACUUUCUGGACUGUAACUGACGCUGAGGCGCGAAAGCGUGGGGAGCAAACAGGAUUAGAUACCCUGGUAGUCCACGCCGUAAACGAUGAGUGCUAGGUGUAGAGGGUAUCGACCCCUUCUGUGCCGCAGCUAACACACUAAGCACUCCGCUUG
rnacentral:rRNA from 1 species